rnacentral:rRNA from 1 species
GCGGUGGAGUAUGUGGUUUAAUUCGAUGCAACGCGAAGAACCUUACCUGGUCUUGACAUCCCGGAGACCCUUAGGAAACGUAGGGGGUGCUUCCAUCUGGAAGAAUCUGGAGACAGGUGCUGCAUGGCUGUCGUCAGCUCGUGUCGUGAGAUGUUGGGUUAAGUCCCGCAACGAGCGCAACCCUUGCCUUUAGUUGCCAGCAGUUCGGCUGGGCACUCUAAAGGGACUGCCGGUGUUAAACCGGAGGAAGGUGGGGAUGACGUCAAGUCCUCAUGGCCUUUAUGACCAGGGCUACACACGUACUACAAUGGCCGAUACAAAGGGCAGCGACACUGCGAGGUGAAGCCAAUCCCGUAAAAUCGGUCUCAGUCCGGAUUGGAGUCUGCAACUCGACUCCAUGAAGUUGGAAUCGCUAGUAAUCGUGGAUCAGCAUGCCACGGUGAAUACGUUCCCGGGCCUU